UACAGAGGGUGCAAGCGUUGUUCGGAAUUAUUGGGCGUAAAGGGCAGGUAGGUGGUCUUGUAAGUCAACUGUGAAAUCCCCGAGCUUAACUUGGGAAGUGCGGUUGAUACUGCUUGACUAGAGUGCUAGAGGGGUUCGUGGAAUACUCGGUGUAGCGGUGAAAUGCGUAGAUAUCGAGUGGAACACCAGAGGCGAAGGCGACGAACUGGAUAGCAACUGACACUCAACUGCGAAAGCGUGGGGAGCAAACAGG
rnacentral:rRNA from 1 species